UAAGGAAUAUUGGUCAAUGGACGAAAGUCUGAACCAGCCAUGCCGCGUGGAGGAUGAAGGCCCUCUGGGUUGUAAACUUCUUUUAUCUGGGACGAAAAAAGAGAAUUCUUUCUCGUCUGACGGUACCAGAUGAAUAAGCACCGGCUAACUCCGUGCCAGCAGCCGCGGUAAUACGGAGGGUGCAAGCGUUAUCCGGAUUCACUGGGUUUAAAGGGUGCGUAGGUGGAUUGGUAAGUCAGUGGUGAAAUCCCUAAGCUUAACUUGGGAACUGCCAUUGAUACUAUUAAUCUUGAAUACCGUGGAGGUCAGCGGAAUAUGUCAUGUAGCGGUGAAAUGCUUAGAUAUGACAUAGAACACCAAUUGCGAAGGCAGCUGGUUACACGAAUAUUGACACUGAUGCACGAAAGCGUGGGGAUCAAACAGGAUUAGAUACCCCCGUAGUCC
rnacentral:rRNA from 1 species